UGAUAUGAUGAUAAUGAGAUAUGAAAUUAAAGUGCAUUAAGUAAAUGACAUGAACUUAAAUGACUUGAAUUAAAUGACAAGAAAGUAAAUGUCAAUAAUGUAAAAAGCAAGAUUAAUGUUAGGAGUUACUGGUUAGUUAAUGAUGUCGGGACAAUGACAAUGUAUGUGUUAGACAAGUUAGAGAAUCAACAUAAAGUUAAUCUCAAACAACAAUG
rnacentral:lncRNA from 1 species